CCUACGGGGGGCAGCAGUGGGGAAUAUUGGACAAUGGGGGCAACCCUGAUCCAGCCAUGCCGCGUGUGUGAAGAAGGCCCUCGGGUUGUAAAGCACUUUCAGUGAGGAAGAACGCCUGGUGGUUAAUACCCAUCAGGAAAGACAUCACUCACAGAAGAAGCACCGGCUAACUCCGUGCCAGCAGCCGCGGUAAUACGGAGGGUGCGAGCGUUAAUCGGAAUUACUGGGCGUAAAGCACGCGUAGGUGGCUUGAUAAGCCGGUUGUGAAAGCCCCGGGCUCAACCUGGGAACGGCAUCCGGAACUGUCAAGCUAGAGUGCAGGAGAGGAAGGUAGAAUUCCCGGUGUAGCGGUGAAAUGCGUAGAGAUCGGGAGGAAUACCAGUGGCGAAGGCGGCCUUCUGGACUGACACUGACACUGAGGUGCGAAAGCGUGGGUAGCAAACAGGAUUAGAUACCCUAGUAGUC
rnacentral:rRNA from 1 species